rnacentral:rRNA from 1 species
GACGAACGCUGGCGGCGUGCUUAACACAUGCAAGUCGAACGGAAAGGCCCAGCUUGCUGGGUGCUCGAGUGGCGAACGGGUGAGUAACACGUGGGUGAUCUGCCCCUAACUUCGGGAUAAGCUUGGGAAACUGGGUCUAAUACCGGAUAGGACAAUCGUUUAGUGUCGGUUGUGGAAAGUUUUUUCGGUUAGGGAUGAGCCCUCGGCCUAUCAGCUUGUUGGUUGGGUUAUGGCCUACCAAGGCGUCGACGGGUAGCCGGCCUGAGAGGGUGGACGGCCACAUGGGGCCUGCGAGAGGGAGCAGACUGCAACGGGAGGCAGUAGGGGGGAAUAUUGCACAAUGGGGGCAAGUCUGAUGCGGAGAUGCCGCGUGGGGGAUGACGGCCUUCGGGUUGUAAACCUCUGUCGAAAGGGACGAAGCUUUGGUGACGGUACCUGUAUAAGAAGCACCGGCUAACUACGUG